rnacentral:rRNA from 1 species
UAGUCCCUACGGGGGGCAGCAGUGAGGAAUAUUGGUCAAUGGGCGCAAGCCUGAACCAGCCAAGUCGCGUGAGGGAUGACGGUCCUAUGGAUUGUAAACCUCUUUUGUCGGGGAGCAAGGCCCGCCACGUGUGGCGGGAAGGAGAGUACCCGAAGAAAAAGCAUCGGCUAACUCCGUGCCAGCAGCCGCGGUAAUAAGGAGGAUGCGAGCGUUAUCCGGAUUUAUUGGGGUUAAAGGGGGCGGAGGCGGAAGGGUA